UACGUAGGGGGCAAGCGUUGUCCGGAUUUAUUGGGUUUAAAGGGUGCGUAGGCGGCCCUGUAAGUCAGUGGUGAAAGCCUCCAGCUCAACUGGAGAACUGCCAUUGAUACUGCAGGGCUUGAGUACAGACGAGGUUGGCGGAAUUGAUUGUGUAGCGGUGAAAUGCAUAGAUACAAUCAAGAACUCCGAUUGCGUAGGCAGCUAACUAGGCUGUAACUGACGCUGAGGCACGAAAGCGUGGGGAGCGAACAGG
rnacentral:rRNA from 1 species